UACGGAGGGAGCUAGCGUUGUUCGGAAUUACUGGGCGUAAAGCGCGCGUAGGCGGUCUUGUAAGUUAGAGGUGAAAGCCCGGAGCUCAACUCCGGAACUGCCUUUAAAACUGCAUCGCUUGAAUCCAGGAGAGGUGAGUGGAAUUCCGAGUGUAGAGGUGAAAUUCGUAGAUAUUCGGAAGAACACCAGUGGCGAAGGGCGG
rnacentral:rRNA from 1 species